rnacentral:rRNA from 1 species
CCGUAGCCCAAGAGAUCGGGAUAACACCUGGAAACAGAUGCUAAUACCGGAUAACAACAGAUGAUGCCUAUCAACUGCUUAAAAGAUGGUUCUGCUAUCACUCUUGGAUGGACCUGCGGUGCAUUAGCUAGUUGGUAGGGUAACGGCCUACCAAGGCGAUGAUGCAUAGCCGAGUUGAGAGACUGAUCGGCCACAUUGGGACUGAGACACGGCCCAAACUCCUACGGGAGGCAGCAGCG